rnacentral:rRNA from 1 species
UACGAGGGGGGCGAGCGUUGUUCGGAAUUAUUGGGCGUAAAGGGUGCGUAGGCGGUUCGGUAAGUUUCGUGUGAAAUCUUCGGGCUCAACUCGAAGUCUGCACGAGAUACUGCCGGGCUUGAGUGUGGGAGAGGUGAGUGGAAUUCCCGGUGUAGCGGUGAAAUGCGCAGAUAUCAGGAGGAACACCAGGUGGCGAAGGCGGCGAUU